AACGAACGCUGGCGGCAUGCCUAACACAUGCAAGUCGAACGAGACCUUCGGGUCUAGUGGCGCACGGGUGCGUAACGCGUGGGAACCUGCCCUUAGGUUCGGAAUAACUCCCCGAAAGGGGUGCUAAUACCGGAUAAUGUCUUCGGACCAAAGAUUUAUCGCCUUUGGAUGGGCCCGCGUUGGAUUAGCUAGUUGGUUGGGUAAAAGCCUACCAAGGCGACGAUCCAUAGCUGGUCUGAGAGGAUGAUCAGCCACACUGGGACUGAGACACGGCCCAGACUCCUACGGGAAGCAGCGGUGGGGAAUAUUGGACAAUGGGCGAAAGCCUGAUCCAGCAAUGCCGCGUGAGUGAUGAAGGCCUUAGGGUUGUAAAGCUCUUUUACCCGGGAUGAUAAUGACAGUACCGGGAGAAUAAGCUCCGGCUAACUCCGUG
rnacentral:rRNA from 1 species